rnacentral:rRNA from 1 species
UACGGAUGGAGCUAGCGUUGUUCGGAAUUACUGGGCGUAAAGCGCACGUAGGCGGCUUCUUAAGUCAGGGGUGAAAUCCUGGAGCUCAACUCCAGAACUGCCUUUGAUACUGAGGAGCUUGAGUCCGGGAGAGGUGAGUGGAACUGCGAGUGUAGAGGUGAAAUUCGUAGAUAUUCGCAAGAACACCAGUGGCGAAGGCGGCUCACUGGCCCGGUACUGACGCUGAGGUGCGAAAGCGUGGGGAGCAAACAGG